GACGAACGCUGGCGGCGUGCUUAACACAUGCAAGUCGAACGGAAAGGCCCUGCUUUUUUGGGGUGCUCGAGUUGCGAACGGGGGAGUAACACGUGAGUAACCUACCCUUGACUGUGAGUUAACUUCAUGAAACUGGGUCUAAUACCGGAUAGGAGCUCCUGCUUCUUGGUGGGGGUUCGAAGGUUUCGGCGGUUGGGGAUGGACUGGCGGCUUAUCAGCUUGUUGGUGGGGUAGUGGCUUACCAAGGCUUUGAGGGGUAGCCGGGCUGAGAGGGUGACCGGACAAAUUGGGACUGAGAUAAGGCACAGACUCCUACGGGAGGCGGCAGUGGGGAAUAUUGCACAAUGGGCGGAGGCCUGAUGCAGCAAAGCCGCGUGCGGGAUGACGGCAUUCGGGUUGUAAACCAAAUCCGCCUGUGACGAAGCGUGAGUGACGGUAAUGGGUAAAGAAGCACCGGCUAACUACGUG
rnacentral:rRNA from 1 species